UCACAGAAACACAAACUAGGUGGAAGCGGUUUUUUAAGCUGUUCUGUUUUUAUUCAGGGUGAGAGAUCGAUAAAAACCCCCCAUAUUUUGUUGCGUACUUUGGCCUUCCCACCAAACACUGUGGAGGAUUUUCUCAGGAUGGCCCUUCAGUGUUAAGCUCAGCAAAUAAAUUAAAUUUGUGGGCUAAAAUUAGUAGAUAAAUGUCAUAUUUGCCUUUGAUAUUCACAUCGCCUUUGACAGGGCGGCUCUGUUCUACAACCAUCUCUUACCCUAUGUUUAGUAAAUCAAAUCAAAUCAUUUCAAAGUGAAAAAUGCCAGUAUUAGCAUUGAUUUACUUUACACCAGAGGUUCCCAAACUGUACAGUCCCAAACUCCACAGGACACUGAAUGUCCUGCUGCUUACGCCGCCUCUCGCUCCUCACACACAGAAAUCCUGCCACAAUACAUAUGUAAAUCAGCUUUACAGUCAUAUAUUAAUGUUUUCAUCACUUUCCAGUAAUAUACUAAUGUUUACAUAACUUUACAGUCAUGUACUCUUUCUCAAAUUAAUGAGAAUUUGACUUUUUUCCAUUUUUAGGAGGAGGGAAUUCGGGGCCAACUGGUUGUGAUCUGGAUUUUGAGCCGUAUGAGCUCUGACUCCCAGUGAGAUGAUUCAGCUGAGGAGGCCAUUACUGCUAAACAUCAACACCAGCACUCAGAGAAGAAGAUCCUCACAAUCUGUAUCUCUUCAACAAAACAUUUACUUCAUACCUAUUACUCCAAAUGUUUACCCCAUUACUCCAAAUGUAGUUGCUUCUUCAUUGUUAUUAUUUCACCUUAAUUUAACCAAGUUAAAAACACUAACAUUAGAAUCUCUUUUAAAACUGAGCCCUGGCCAAGAAGGACACACAACAAACAAGAGGACAAUCAACAGGGAAACAGCAGCACAAUCAACAACAGAUAAACUUAACUCUGCAGUGAACCUGACAGAGAGGUGCAUUUGUGAAGUGCUCUGUCCAAAUAACUCAUUCUAGAGUUUUUGUGAGUAUAUUUGUGUUUUGCCACUAUGAAUAUGGCGACAUGAACUACAGAGGUGCACAUCUUUGAGCUUUAAAAUGUGUUUUCUUGAGUAGAGCGAUAAAAUGGUUAAUAAACGUGGUGUUUUAGCUCCCCCUAGUGUUAAUUGAUGGGUGUUUUGCUUCCGUGCCUUUGUGCCUUAUGUUCAUAUUGUUUCUUUUGUUAGGCAUUGUCUGAGAAGCUAUUGACGGCAGUAUAUCUUUCUGCUUUGCUCUAAAUUAUUUAUACACAGGUUUUUCACAAACACCGCAUCACUCCACUGAGACACCGCUGCUAAGCCACGACUUUGACAGCUGUAGGAGACGCUCAAGCCAUUUAAAUGUUUUUACUUCUUACUUUGCCACAAGCAGAAAACGGACAAUUUGAAGAUUGCAUUUGACCAACAGCCGAUUUGGUCCGACUCUGAAGACGAGAUGACACUAAAUUCCCAAACUGUAUUCACUACUGAGCAGCUUUUC